rnacentral:rRNA from 1 species
GUGGGGAAUAUUGGGCAAUGGGCGAAAGCCUGACCCAGCAACGCCGCGUGAAGGAAGAAGGUUUUCGGAUCGUAAACUUCUAUCCUUGGUGAAGAUAAUGACGGUAGCCAAGAAGGAAGCCCCGGCUAACUACGUGCCAGCAGCCGCGGUAAUACGUAGGGGGCAAGCGUUGUCCGGAAUGAUUGGGCGUAAAGGGCGCGUAGGCGGCCCGGUAAGUCUGAAGUGAAAGUCCUGCUUUUAAGGUGGGAAUUGCUUUGGAUACUGUCGGGCUUGAGUGCAGGAGAGGUAAGCGGAAUUCCCGGUGUAGCGGUGAAAUGCGUAGAGAUCGGGAGGAACACCAGUGGCGAAGGCGACUACCUGGACUGAUACUGACACUGAGGUGCGAAAGCGUGGGGAGCAAACAGGAUUAGAUACCCCGGUAGUCC